rnacentral:rRNA from 1 species
AGUGAACGCUGGCGGUAGGCCUAACACAUGCAAGUCGAACGGCAGCACAGUAAGAGCUUGCUCUUACGGGUGGCGAGUGGCGGACGGGUGAGGAAUACAUCGGAAUCUACUUUUUCGUGGGGGAUAACGUAGGGAAACUUACGCUAAUACCGCAUACGACCUACGGGUGAAAGCAGGGGAUCUUCGGACCUUGCGCGAUUGAAUGAGCCGAUGUCGGAUUAGCUAGUUGGCGGGGUAAAGGCCCACCAAGGCGACGAUCCGUAGCUGGUCUGAGAGGAUGAUCAGCCACACUGGAACUGAGACACGGUACAGACUCCUACGGGAGGCCGCAGUGGGGAAUAUUGGACAAUGGGCGCAAGCCUGAUCCAGCCAUACCGCGUGGGUGAAGAAGGCCUUCGGGUUGUAAAGCCCUUUUGUCGGGAAAGAACAGCAGCAGGUUAAUACCCCGCUGUUCUGACGGUACCCAAAGAAUAAGCACCGGCUAACUUCG